UUAGGCCGAAAGGUUUAAAUUUCAUAACAUCAUCUCAUGAAUUUAAAUGUACGCAAAAGUAUGUACAAUCUAGAACAUGUUCAGAUCGAAGAUAUUUACAUCUUUCUUGCAUCGCAUAAUAAUAGAAUGAGUGUGUUAAGAUUGUUGAUAAACACACAUUAGUAGAUUUUGGCCGUCACUAAAUGUUAUUCCUGAAGUACUAUCAACAGCUUGCAAAGUGGAAUGACAGACCUGAAGCCCUCAAAAAUGGCAAAAUCUACUUUGUAUAUCAAGUAUAUUCUCACUCUUCAGUCCAGUCUAAACCCUGGGUGAGGAAUUCUUAUUCCUCACCCCAGCCGAACCACACGCUCCAGAGAAGAAAGAAUGGUUGCAACGUAAAUUUACCUCACGCAUAGGCCUAGCCAAAAAAAGAAACCGGACUUGUGAGGUAAAUUUACCUACGUCUCUUACUGCAAAAAUAAUAGGGAGAAACCCCACUCUAUGGAUCGUGGGACGGUGGGAGGUCUCUGCCACUUUCCAAACCGUCUCCGUCAGACGGACUGUUCACCGCCGCUACCCCCGACCUGCUCCGCGCCAGCCAUGGCGGUUCCUUUUCCUCGGAGGCCAGCGGAGCAUGUCACUGUAUCCCUGCGGCGGCGAACUAGCUGCGGUGGCUUUGCAGAAGGAGAAUAGGUAGUCAUGCCAGCGGGAUCCGGGCGGGAUCCAAUUCAGCGGAAGCGGCAGCGCCAAGUCUGACCUCGACCUCAACGCCAGGGCGGCGCUCGAUCGUGUCGACGCACUCCGCGAGCUCAGGACUGUGUUUCUCUCCUCUCCCACCCUCGUCUCCUUGGUUGAAAGGAUCCAGAGAUCUCGCCGGCCCCCGUUGAGUCAUCAUGAUUCUGGAGGUGCUGCUAAAAUUUCCUACUAGAGAUAAAAGAAAUUAUUUUGGGGAUUUCUGUCUGUUUAGAGUGCACAUGUGACUUUCCUAUCAUCCAGGUAUGGAUUUAAAGUAGAUAUACCUCAUGUUGGAUUUGAAGUAAAUACUUCACAUACUUCUUGUAGAGUUUCCUAUCAAUUUUCAGUUGCUUGUGUGCCACCAUUGAUUUCUAUAUAAAAUUUAUGAAAUUAUAUCAUUAAUUCUCUGGUAAAAAUUAUAUCACCAAAGGCUUUCCCCGGGUAUGCUACUUUUCACUUCACAGUUGAAAAAAGAUGAUAAUCUUUUAGUCAACAAUUAGUAAUGCAAAUUAGCAGCUGCUUCACUUUUCUUGUUUUCUUUUGCAAUCUGCAAGGAACUCAAAAGACAGUUGGACAUUUGCUCAUUUGCAUCCUGGUCCAUAUAUAGUUUGGGCAAUGUAGAAUGUUAGAACUUGCAGUAUACAUGUUUGGAUAGAAAUUCAUGAAUGCAUGUUUUGAGGACUAAAAGCUUAUCAAUCAAUUGGAUGCUGAAUUUUGUUAUUCAGGAAUAGAUGACUCUCUCCAUGCAAAAGAAAGUGAAGUAGUUAGCUCUCAUAUGAACGUGUUUCUAGAUCUUUUGGCUCUGUUAUGCAUGGAUCUAACAAGAAGAUUCGUUUCAACCUCAAGUUAGCUCUCAUAUGAAAGUGAAGUAUUUCCAAUUUUUACCUUAAAUAUUACUUUUCUUUUCAACCUUAGAAGUUAAAACUUAGAAUAAUCCUUAUUUCCUUGUUUUUCUGGCUGGGUUGUUGUCUUCAGAAUACCAUGUUCUGUUUACAAUGUUUUCACUAAAGGAAAUUUUAAUGGAAAACCCCACAGUUUCAUUUCUUACUCAGGUUAUCUAUGUGUUGAUUUCUUGUUUAGAACUGUUGGGCGUGCAUAUUACCAAAGCUUCAUAUGUUUGACCCAUCAGCAUUGUGCUAUAGGGCUUUCAUGCAUGUUACUUAGCAUAAGAUGAGUUAAGAACCCUUUCGUUUUAGGUGGUAACUAAAUAAUGUAACUCAGUAUGAACUAAUAGAUUGCAAGGGGGUUCUACAGAUGCAGCAGCUGCAAGGACCGCGAGAAAGCACAUGGUGCUGUAUUGCGGUAAUGCCGGGAUGCUCAUGUCACUUAUGAGAAUGAGCACAACCACAAGCACGUUCAGCUGCUCAACCUGUUGAUGAUCGCCGCGAAUUCAGAAGCCCAACUGAAGCUACCAGUUCCAUAAGAAGUUGAAGAAUUCUAAAUUUUUAUGCCAUGGAUUGAACAUGUCAUUCAGCUGUUCUUUGGUUAUUUAGUCUGACAAAAAGCAAAAUUUCUAACAAAAGGGCAAAGAUUUCACCGCCAUAUUUUUCAUGAUGUAUAGUGAAUACUUGAUUGGGGUGCAAUGCAUUUACCUUUCAAAAUAUUCUAUCGAUAAAAUCGUUCCAUGUGAGAGCUUGUCGAAUUUACUUGUAGAAGUACCACUGGAAGUUUGUUCUAAUUUGUGUGUGCUUUUCAGCAGAUUGUAAUAGGCUUGUCAACAAGUAUCUUUGUUGAGUGUAUCCGAGAAAAAUUGUGUUUAUUUC